rnacentral:siRNA from 1 species
CGACCCUUGCUUGAUGAUCG